rnacentral:rRNA from 1 species
AUGCUGGAGGCCAGGGCGCCCCCGUCCGAGGCCACCAUCACCUCGCUCACCUGCAUCGUCGUUGCAGACGCGGAGGGCGCCUACGAAGCCUUCAGGCUCGUCUCCUCCAUGCGGCAGAAGUACAGGCUCGUGCCACGCCUCGGGUCCUACAGCAUCGUGCUUGCCGCGUUCCAGCGCGCCAGAGAGGCUGGCAAGGCCUACGCGGUCGAGGCCCACAUGGCGGCCUCCGCUGCAUCGCGGGAAGAGCUCGAGCUCGCCGCGCUCCUUGAGGUUAGCGUGAAGGCCAAGGACGCAGACAAGGUGUUUGAGUAUAUGCACAAGCUGCGCCGCUGGGAGCUGGGGGGCGUUCCUCCACAAAACCUUGAUCUGGAGCUUCGACAACGCAGGCCUCCAUGUUGGGCCGAGGAGGAGAAGAAGGGGAAGAAGGGGGGCACGUCGGGGGUGCUGGUCGAGCGUGCCAUCGAGGACGUUGAUGACGGCAGCAUGGGCGAGGCCGGGGAGGAGAUCAUGGUUGAUGCUUUACCGCCUGGAUUUGUUGACCUGGAACAAGAGGGUAAGGUGGAUGUGAGAACGGAAGCGCACGCCGUGGUGCAGGAUGUCGUGGUGUCCGAAGCACCUGAGGUGCCGGAACCAGAGGUGAAGAGUGAGGAGGUGGUGGUCCGGGACACAACCAAGGUGCAUCCUGUGCAUCAACCAGAGACGAAGGCCGAUGAGGUGCAGGUCAGGGAUACGGACAAGGCUGUUCUGGUGCAGGAAAUGGAAGCAAAGGGUGAGGUGUCACGGUUUCGUGAGGCAGCUGGUGCACAGACUACAGAGUAUGAUGAUUGCAUUAAGGAUUGUGAUACGGUUGUUGAGAGGGGAAGGGAACUUCAUGCUAACUGUGCUGACUUCAAGAUGGUCUCAAGGGCACUAGCAAGGAAAGCAACUGCUCUUGUCAAUCUUGCCAAGUCUUCCAAAGACUACGAUAAGGAGUUCAUCCACGGCUUGGUGGAGCUGCUAAAGGAGAGCCUCGAUGACAUGCCCAUUGAGCUAAAUGAGCAAGGGGAGUUGACCGUCGGCUUGGUGAUGUUGCUGAAGAAGAGCAUUGUCUCGGAGAAGAAGGCGAUCGGCAAAAUCCUGCAACUUCAGGAGGACAAGGCGAAGCUCUGCCACGAGCUCGACCUGCUGAAGGAGGAGAACGCCGGCUGGAAGAAGCUGCAUGAGAAUAGUAGUUCCUCGAUGAAGAUGUUGCAGGCCGUCGUCAUAGAACAGAAGGAGGAGUUGGCAAAGCUCCGCAUCGAGCACCCGACUGCUGUCAAGGUACAUAAUGCGGCCGUGGAACAGAUGAUGAAGGCUCGCGUCGAGAAAUCCCGCGUCAUGGACACAAUGAUGAAGAUUGUGGAGGAGACGCGCAAGGAGAUGGAGGUCGUGGAGGCGAUGAAGAAGCAGUUACGACUCCGUGGCCAGCAACCCUUCAUGUAG